rnacentral:rRNA from 1 species
CGUCCCCGAGCCAUGAUGGAGGCGCGGCACACAGCUCAUUAACACGUGGCUAACCUACCCUUGGGACAGGUACAACUCCGGGAAACUGGGGCUAAUCCCUGAUAGGUGAGGAACCCUGGAAAGGGUCUUCGCUCAAAGGGCGUUUAGGCCAUGCUUCUAGACGUUGCCCAAGGAUGGGGCCGCGGCCGAUCAGGUUGUUGGUGAGGUAAUGGCUCACCAAGCCUUUAACCGGUACGGGCCGUGAGAGCGGGAGCCCGGAGAUGGGUACUGAGACAAGGGCCCGGGCCCUACGGGGCGCAGCAGUCGCGAAAACUCCGCAAUGCGCGAAAGCGUGACGGGGUCAUCCCGAGUGCUGUCCGCUGAGGAUGGCUUUUCCCCAGCGUAUACAGCUGGGGGAAUAAGGAGAGGGCAAGUCUGGUGUCAGCCGCCGCGGUAAUACCAGCUCUCCGAGUGGUGGGGAUACUUAUCGGGCCUGAAGCAUCCGUAGCCGGCUGGACCAGUUCCCUUGUUAAUCCAGCGAUCAAUCGUUGGCCUGCGGGGGAUACUGCUCGGCUAGGGGGCGAGAGAGGCCGACGGUAUUCUCGGGGAUAGGGGUGAAAUCCUAUAAUCCCGGGAAGACCACCAGUGGCGAAGGCUGUCGGCUAGAACGCGCUCGACGGUGAAGGGAUGAAAGCUGGGGUAGCGAACCGGGAUUAGAUACCCGGGGUAGUCCCAGCCGUAAACGAUACAGGCUUAGGUGCUAGGGCGGCUACGCGCCGCUCUAGUGCCGCAGGGAAGCUGUUUAGCCUGUCGCCUGGGGAGUACGGCCGCAAGGCUGAAACUUAAAGGAAUUGGCGGGGGAGCACCACAAGGGGUGAAGCUUGCGGUUUAAUUGGAGUCAACGCCGGAAAUCUCACCGGGGGCGACAGCAGGAUGAAAGCCAGAUUAAAGGUCUUGCCAGACGAGCUGAGAGGAGGUGCAUGGCCGUCGCCAGUUCGUGCCGUGAGGUGUCCUGUUAAGUCAGGCAACGAUCGGGACCCGCAUCCCCCCGUUGCUAUUGGCCUUGAGUCAAGCACACUGGGGAGACCGCCGCCGAUAAGGUGGAGGAAGGAGCGGGCCACGGCAGGUCAGUAUGCCCCGAAUCUCCCGGGCCACACGCGAGCUGCAAUGGCAGGUACAAUGGGUUCCAACCUCGAAAGGGGAAGGCAAUCCCUAAAGCCUGCCGUAGUUGGGAUCGAGGGUUGAAACCCACCCU